GAUACCGUGGCCGAGUGGUUAAGGCGCUGUGUUAAGGCCGCAGUUCUCCGGAGCGUGGGUUCGAGUCCCACCGGUGUCA
rfam:Thecamonas trahens ATCC 50062 unplaced genomic scaffold supercont1.41, whole genome shotgun sequence.